GGUUGUAAAGCUGGAAGACACAGUGUGCGGUAGGAAAUACCAGGGAAAGGGGUGAAUCCUUCUCACCCCAGGGUCCUGCUGUCCUCUGCUAUGUUACACCCUCUCUUGCAGACUCGGCCAAACCUCUUAUGGGAGGAGGAGUGACUCUCGGAGCCAUGCCAGACCUGACUGUGCCUUGCUAUGGGACGAAAUGACUGGAGACGUGAUCAGCUUGGGGGCCUAGUGUGGCCAGAAGAGGAGCCUGGACCAUUGCCAGCAGCAAAGCCAAGAGCUCUAGGUAUGCAUGUGAGUCUGUAGUAAGGAGGCCUGAGUGGGCUAUAGGGAAGUCUGUGUGGGUCAGAGAAGGGAGGUGAGUGGAUGAGCUGUGUGAGAGGGCAGCACACCUCAGGACAUGCAGCAUAAGCGGCAUUGCUGGAGACCUGGGCAAUCUUGCCUCUGAGGGAGCUCUGUAGCAGCAGGGGACUGAAGCUGAGGAUAGAGGCAAUGAUCCUGGGUGUCCCCCAUGGCCAGGGUCUGGGUGGCACUGAGCUGGACAACCUCUUCACCCCCUCAUUGGGGUUGGGCCAUCUGUACUGUGCUGGGUCUGACUGCAGGGAAAACAGCUCAACUGUGAGAAAAAGCUGCAAGAAACCUUCGGCUUGUGAGGACCAGACUUUAGCCGGGAGGUCCUGGAGACAGACACAAGGCUUCCUGCAUCCUUUCUGAUAGGUGCUUUCCAAGGGUAGCCACAGAAAGCCCUUAAGGUUACAAAACAGCUGAUGCAGGUUGAUGUGCUGGAGAUGCAGACAUCUCCAAACUCAUCUGAAUGGAGCUGCCUCCUGGCUAGAAGAUCUCUCUUUGUGCAAUUACCAGGACAGAUCUGGCAAGAUGGAACCUGAGCCCAUGCUUUCCCUGUGCGCAAUGACCAGUGUAGGGAAGAAUCACCCUUCUUCACUGAUGCUCAUCCCAUUCUCAAUGUCUCCGUAAAAUGUUUCUGCUUCAGCAGAACAGCAGGUUUGCCUGAAUUUUCAGUGUUAACACUGCCAUGAUGAUGUUUUUACCCUUGCGCAGGAUAUGCACUUGCUCUGCAUGUCAGGAGCAGGAUCUCAGAGUAUCUCAGCAGCGACAGCAUAAUCCAGGAGUACCAAAUUGGCUGCUUCUCCAAGAAGUGAACCAUGGGCUUCACCUUUACCGUGGAGAUGCUUAUUAACAAAUAUGUAAAAGAAUAAAAAUUGGGCAGAAUGCU